GGCUGGUCCAAGUGCAGUGGUGUUUACAAGUAACUGAUCACAACCACUUACAGAGUCCUUUGUUCCUUCUCUACUCCCCCUGGUUCACUUGACUAGCCUAAA
ensembl:misc_RNA Y_RNA Y RNA